rnacentral:rRNA from 1 species
AGCGAACGCUGGCGGCGUGCUUAACACAUGCAAGUCGAACGUGAAAGUAGCAAUAUGAGUAAAGUGGCGUACGGGUGAGUAACACGUGGGUAAUCUACCAAAGAGUCUGGAAUAACCGGCCGAAAGGCUGGCUAAUACUGGAUAGAUCAAGCGCAUUAUAAAAGGUGCGAUUGGGAAAGGGAGCUCGUAAGAGCCUUCGUCUUUUUGAUGAGCCCGCGUCUGAUUAGCUAGUUGGUGAGGUAAUGGCUCACCAAGGCGACGAUCAGUAGCUGGUCUGAGAGGAUGAUCAGCCACACUGGAACUAGAAACACGGU